AGAUGUAGGCAUGAUUCUCUUCAAAAUGAAGAAGAGGAGAAAGAGAGGCAGACAGAGGCUCAGUAUUGUUGGAGGCAAUGUUCUUUUGGUUUUAGAAAAGAUCAUGAGGGAAUCACAGCUGUAAUAUACAAAUACAUGGUUCCUUGCCUGACGGAUGGAAAAUUGCUGUGGAGGAACAGUGUCACGGGAUCCAAUUUAUUCACAAAAACCUGUCUUAAGAGCCCCAGUGGAUUGUGACAGUGGCUAAAAGAGAUUCCCAGUUCUAAGGGACCACACUCAGAAAAGCUGAGCACGAUACAUUGAUGGACCUGCUGACGCAAAGGGACAGAAGGAGAAAAUGGUUUCUGUCAA